UACGGGGGGGGCGAGCUUUGUUCGGAAUUACUGGGCGUAAAGGGUUUGUAGGUGGUCUGCUAAGUCAGACGUGAAAUCCCUCAGCUUAACUCCGAAACUGCAUUCGAUACUGCCGUGCUUGAGGACUGGAGAGGAGACUGGAAUUUACGGUGUAGCGGUGAAAUGCGUAGAUAUCGUAAGGAAGACCAGUGGCGAAGGCGGGUCUCUGGACAGUUCCUGACGCUGAGGUGCGAAAGCGUGGGGAGCAAACAGG
rnacentral:rRNA from 1 species